UGUAAUUGAUGAAGGAUGGAAUAUAACUGCAAAUAAUUAAGAAAUAAAUGUUAUAUAUAUAUUUAAGCACCUAAGAGAAUGCUUGUGUGUGUGUGUGUGUGUGUGUGUGUGUACUGUAUAUAUAUGGAACAGCAGCCCUGCCUGAAGGCUUACAA